rnacentral:sRNA from 1 species
AAAGGGAGGCUCCAUGUUCCAGCUACAGCCCCCUCAGUUGGGGUUUCGGGAGGUGCAUCCAGAAGUCAGGACCAGGCCUUGAGAACUGACCUGUGACAUGGUAGUAGAUGAUGGUGGCGGGACCAGCGUUGACGGUGUCCAGCUCACAGCGGUAGUUGCCAGCAUCCUCUGGACCCACCAUCGUCUUGGUCAGUCCCUGUCACCUGUAGAGGAGGACUUCUGGACCCAGCCCUUCUCCCAGGCUGCCGAGGUCUGCAUCAUGGCCUGCCCUCCUUACCUACAAC